rnacentral:rRNA from 1 species
GCUAACACGGGGGCAGCAGUGGGGGUAGUGCGGAGGUUGCUGGCGUUAAGCGGAAUUACUGGGCGGAAAGCGUGCGCGGGCGGGUUGGUAAGACAGGCGUGAAAUCCCCGGGCUUAACCUGGGAACUGCGCUUGUGACUGCCAGGCUAGAGUACGGCAGAGGGGGGUGGAAUUCCACGUGUAGCAGUGAAAUGCGUAGAGAUGUGGAGGAACACCAAUGGCGAAGGCAGCCCCCUGGGUCGAUACUGACGCUCAUGCACGAAAGCGUGGGUAGCAAACAGGAUUAGAUACUCGGGUAGUC